rnacentral:rRNA from 1 species
GUAGGUGGCAAGCGUUGUCCGGAAUUAUUGGGCGUAAAGCGCGCGCAGGCGGUUCUUUAAGUCUGAUGUGAAAGCCCACGGCUCAACCGUGGAGGGUCAUUGGAAACUGGAGAACUUGAGUACAGAAGAGGAAAGCGGAAUUCCACGUGUAGCGGUGAAAUGCGUAGAGAUGUGGAGGAACACCAGUGGCGAAGGCGGCUUUCUGGUCUGUAACUGACGCUGAGGCGCGAAAGCGUGGGGAGCAAACAGGAUUAGAUACCCUGGUAGUCCACGCCGUAAACGAUGAGUGCUAAGUGUUAGGGGGUUUCCGCCCCCCUUAGUGCUGCAGCUAGCGCAUUAAGCACUCCGCCUGGGAGUACGGCCGCAAGGCUG